GUCAAGGGCUCUCGCGAGGGGGAAGCGUGAAUCUGGUCAGGACUUAAGUGUAGCAGCCAUAAGCGUCAUACUCUUGUGCGGGGGCCUUUGACGGG
rnacentral:SRP_RNA from 2 species